rnacentral:lncRNA from 1 species
AUGCCCACCUCUGGUCUGGAUGAAGAUGCUGAUUGCCCUGUCACCUGGAUGCUGCUUCCAAGCCUCUACCUGUGCACCUGUGGACAAGCAAGGGCCUCCCCAAGCCCUGCGGCCUGCGCAUUGCUACCGGGCACAGCCAGGGGGCCCUGCCCUGUGAUUAAGGUACGUUCUGGUGAUGGGACACGGAGCUGGCUUUCCAGGUGGGCUCCCAGCGGUCACCUGCACUGUCCAGGCGGGCUCCCAGCGGUCACCUGCCUUGUCCAGGCGGGCUCCCAGCGGUCACCUGCACUGUCCAGGUGGGCUCCCAGCGGUCACCUGCACUGUCCAGGUGGGCUCCCAGUGGUCACCUGCACUGUCCAGGUGGGCUCCCAGUGGUCACCUGCACUGUCCAGGUGGGCUCCCAGCGGUCACCUGCCUUGUCCAGGCGGGCUCCCAGCGGUCACCUGCACUGUCCAGGUGGGCUCCCAGUGGUCACCUGCACUGUCCAGGUGGGCUCCCAGCGGUCACCUGCGUUGUCCAGGUGGGCUCCCAGCGGUCACCUGCACUGUCCAGGUGGGCUCCCAGCGGUCACCUGCACUGUCCAGGUGGGCUCCCAAUGGUCACCUGCACUGUCCAGGUGGGCUCCCAGCGGUCACCUGCACUGUCCAGGUGGGCUCCCAGCGGUCACCUGCACUGUCCAGGUGGGCUCCCAGCGGUCACCUGCACUGUCCAGGUGGGCUCCCAGCGGUCACCUGCACUGUCCAGGUGGGCUCCCAGCGGUCACCUGCACUGUCCAGGUGGGCUCCCAGCGGUCACCUGCACUGUCCAGGUGAGCUCCCAGCGGUCACCUGCCUUGUCCAGGUGGGCUCCCAGCGGUCACCUGCACUGUCCAGGUGGGCUCCCAGCGGUCACCUGCACUGUCCAGGUGGGCUCCCAGCGGUCACCUGCACUGUCCAGGUGGGCUCCCAGCGGUCACCUGCACUGUCCAGGUGGGCUCCCAGCGGUCACCUGCACUGUCCAGGUGAGCUCUCAGCGGUCACCUGCCUUGUCCAGGUGGGCUCCCAGCGGUCACCUGCACUGUCCAGGUGGGCUCCAAGUGGUCACCUGCACUGUCCAGGUGGGCUCCCAGUGGUCACCUGCACUGUCCAGGUGGGCUCCCAGCGGUCACCUGGGGCUUCCUAUGGGGAAGAGGAGAGCAGUGGAGAUCCGGAGAGCAGCCGGGCCAAAGGACACAGAAGUCGGGGUUGUGAGUUUGAAGAUGGUUGGGGGCAGGGCCCUGGGGAGCCGGUGCCUUUAGGAGCUGGAUGA